UACGGGGGGGGGUAAGCGUUGUUCGGAAUUACUGGGCGUAAAGGGCUCGUAGGCGGCCAACUAAGUCAGACGUGAAAUCCCUCAGCUUAACUGGGGAACUGCGUCUGAUACUGGAUGGCUUGGAUUCGGGAGAGGAAUGCGGAAUUCCAGGUGUAGCGGUGAAAUGCGUAGAUAUCUGGAGGAACACCGGUGGCGAAGGCGGCAUUCUGGACCGAUAUUGACGCUGAGGGAGCGAAAAGCCGGGAGGGCAGAGGAG
rnacentral:rRNA from 1 species